CAGACUCCUACGGGAGGCAGCAGUAGGGAAUCUUCCGCAAUGGGCGAAAGCCUGACGGAGCAACGCCGCGUGAGUGAUGAAGGUCUUAGGAUCGUAAAACUCUGUUGUUAGGGAAGAACAAAUUUGUUAGUAACUGAACAAGUCUUGACGGUACCUAACCAGAAAGCCACGGCUAACUACGUGCCAGCAGCCGCGGUAAUACGUAGGUGGCAAGCGUUAUCCGGAAUUAUUGGGCGUAAAGCGCGCGUAGGCGGUUUCUUAAGUCUGAUGUGAAAGCCCCCGGCUCAACCGGGGAGGGUCAUUGGAAACUGGGGGACUUGAGUGCAGAAGAGGAGAGUGGAAUUCCAUGUGUAGCGGUGAAAUGCGCAGAGAUAUGGAGGAACACCAGUGGCGAAGGCGGCUCUCUGGUCUGCAACUGACGCUGAUGUGCGAAAGCGUGGGGAUCAAACAGGAUUAGAUACCCUGGUAGUCCACGCCGUAAACGAUGAGUGCUAAGUGUUAGGGGGUUUCCGCCCCUUAGUGCUG
rnacentral:rRNA from 1 species